rnacentral:rRNA from 1 species
UACGUAGGUGGCAAGCGUUUGUCCGGAUUUAUUGGGCGUAAAGCGAGUGCAGGCGGUUCAAUAAGUCUGAUGUGAAAGCCUUCGGCUCAACCGGAGAAUUGCAUCAGAAACUGUUGAACUUGAGUGCAGAAGGAGGAGAGUGGAACUCCAUGUGUAGCGGUGGAAUGCGUAGAUAUAUGGAAGAACACCAGUGGCGAAGGCGGCUCUCUGGUCUGCAACUGACGCUGAGGCUCGAAAAGCAUGGGUAGCGAACAGG